CCUGGUGGUUAUGGCGGGGUGGCUGCACCCGUUCCCUUUCCGAACACGGCCGUGAAACGCCCCUGCGCCCAUGGUACUUCGUCUUAAGACGC
rnacentral:rRNA from 3 species